rnacentral:rRNA from 1 species
CACGAGUUUGAUCAUGGCUCAGAACGAACGCUGGCGGCAUGCCUAACACAUGCAAGUCGAACGAGACCUUCGGGUCUAGUGGCGCACGGGUGCGUAACGCGUGGGAACCUGCCUUUAGGUUCGGAAUAACUCAGAGAAAUUUGAGCUAAUACCGGAUGAUGUCUUCGGACCAAAGAUUUAUCGCCUUUAGAUGGGCCCGCGUAAGAUUAGCUAGUUGGUGGGGUAAAGGCCUACCAAGGCGACGAUCUUUAGCUGGUCUGAGAGGAUGAUCAGCCACACUGGGACUGAGACACGGCCCAGACUCCUACGGGAGGCAGCAGUGGGGAAUAUUGGACAAUGGGCGAAAGCCUGAUCCAGCAAUGCCGCGUGAGUGAUGAAGGCCUUAGGGUUGUAAAGCUCUUUUACCCGAGAUGAUAACGACAGUAUCGGGAGAAUAAGCUCCGGCUAACUCCGUG